GACUCACGCAGGAAUCUUACCGGGUCCGGACACACUGAGGAUUGACAGAUAACAAUAUGAUAUCUCUUUCAUAAUUAUGUGAUAGGUGGUGCAUGGCCGUUCUUAGUUCGUGGAGUGAUCUGUCUGCUUAAUUGCGUUGGUAUAUAUAAUGCAUGUUAAUUGCAUUUUUACCAUGCAACGAACGUGACCGCAACCUCUUGUUGCACUAUAGCUUCUCAUGGUGCAAAACUAGAGGGACCGCUGUAUUUAUUUCUUUUAGCCAGAGGAAGGAUGCGGCAAUAACAGGUCUGUGAUGC
rnacentral:rRNA from 1 species